UGGGGGAUAUUGCACAAUGGGCGAAAGCCUGAUGCAGCGACGCCGCGUGGGGGAGGAAGGCCUUCGGGUUGUAAACUUCUUUUGCUCUGAACAAGGCGCACCAUGGGGUGUGUUGAGUGUAGGGGUUGAUUAGCGCCGGCUAACUACGUGCCAGCAGCCGCGGUAAUACGUAGGGCGCGAGCGUUGUCCGGAAUUAUUGGGCGUAAAGGGCUUGUAGGUGGCUGGUUGCGUCUGUCGUGAAAGCUCAUGGCUUAACUGUGGGUUUGCGGUGGGUACGGGCUGGCUUGAGUGCAGUAGGGGAGGCUGGAAUUCCUGGUGUAGCGGUGGAAUGCGCAGAUAUCAGGAGGAAUACCGGUGGCGAAGGCGGGUCUCUGGGCUGUUACUGACACUGAGGAGCGAAAGCAUGGGGAGCGAACAGG
rnacentral:rRNA from 1 species